rnacentral:rRNA from 1 species
UGAGGAAUAUUGGGCAAUGCCCGCAAGGGUGACCCAGCAACGCCGCGUGGAGGAUGAAUGUCGUAAGAUUGUAAACUCCUGUUAGAGGGGAAGAAUAGUACCGGUUGGACCGGUAUAUGACUGUACCCUCAGAGAAAGCCCCGGCUAACUACGUGCCAGCAGCCGCGGUAAUACGUAGGGGGCAAGCGUUGUCCGGAUUUACUGGGUGUAAAGGGCGCGCAGGCGGGAUAAAAAGUCAGUGGUGAAAUCCUACAGCUUAACUGUAGAACUGCCUUGGAUACUUUUAUUCUUGAGUUCGGGAGAGAGAGACGGAAUUCCAGGUGUAGUGGUGAAAUACGUAGAGAUCUGGAAGAACACCAGUUGCGAAGGCGGUCUCUUGGUCCGACACUGACGCUGAGGCGCGAAAGCGUGGGGAGCAAACA